rnacentral:sRNA from 1 species
AAGCGAGCAGCCACCAAAUUGAAAGAGCAGCUGCACGGCUACUUCGAGUACAUCCUGUACGACGUUGGGGUCUACGGCUGCCAGGGCUGCUGCAGCUUCAAGUGUCUCAACAGCGGUCUCCUCUUUGCCAGCCGCUACCCCAUCAUGGACGUGGCCUAUCACUGUUACCCCAACAAGUGUAACGACGAUGCCCUGGCCUCUAAGGGAGCUCUGUUUCUCAAGACCGAGUUUCACUCUUGUUGCCCAGGCUGGGGUGCAAUGGCGCGAUCUCGGUUCACCACAACCUCUGCCUCCCGGGUUCAAGCGAUUCUCCUGCCUUGGCCUCCCAAGUAGCUGGGAUUACAGGCAUGCACCACCAGCCUGGCUAAUUUUUUAUUUUUAGUAGAGACGGAGUUUCACCAUGUUGGUCAGCCUGAUCUCAAACUCCCAACCUCAGGUGAUCCGCCCACCUCGGCCUCCUAAAGUGCUAGAAUUACAGGCUUGAGCCACCACACCCAGCCUUGACCAAUAUGUUAAAAUCAAGAUAUUUCACAGAAAACCCAGUUUGCAGGUUCUCUCAGCAGCCCCAGGCCUGCCACAUU